rnacentral:rRNA from 1 species
AACCGGCGAACGGGUGCGUAACACGUGAGCAAUCUACCUUCUUGUGGGGGAUAGCCGGCCCAACGGCCGGGUAAUACCGCAUACGAUCUUCGGGAGGCAUUUCCUGAAGAAGAAGCCUACGGGGCAAGAAGAGGAGCUCGCGGCCUAUCAGCUAGUUGGCGAGGUAACGGCUCACCAAGGCUAUGACGGGUAGCUGGUCUGAGAGGAUGGCCAGCCACAUUGGGACUGAGAUACGGCCCAGACUCCUACGGGAGGCAGCAGUGGGGAAUAUUGCGCAAUGGUCUAACGACUGACGCAGCGACGCCGCGUGAGGGAUGAAGCUCCUCGGAGUGUAAACCUCUGUUGCCAGGGACGAACAGCUGAAUUCAUUCAGCCUGACGGUACCUGGUGAGGAAGCACCGGCUAACUCCGUGCCAGCAGCCGCGGUAAUACGGGGGGUGCGAGCGUUGUCCGGAAUCACUGGGCGUAAAGGGCGCGUAGGUGGCCUGAUAAGGGUGUGGUGAAAGUCCGGGGCUUAACCCCGGAUCUGCCGUGCCGACUGUUAGGCUAGAGUGCUGUAGGGGCAGGCGGAAUUCCGGGUGUAGCGGUGGAAUGCGUAGAGAUCCGGAGGAAGACCGGUGGCGAAGGCGGCCUGCUGGGCAGAUACUGACACUGAGGCGCGACAGCGUGGGGAGCAAACAGGAUUAGAUACCCUGGUAGUCCACGCCGUAAACGAUGGGUACUAGGUGCCUGGGGGAGCGACCCCUUGGGUGCCGGCGCUAACGCAGGAAGUACCCCGCCUGGGGAGUACGACCGCAAGGUUGAAACUCAAAGGAAUUGACGGGGGCCCGCACAAGCGGUGGAGCAUGUGGUUUAAUUCGACGCAACGCGAAGAACCUUACCUAGGCUUGACAUGC